rnacentral:rRNA from 1 species
UGGGGAAUAUUGGGCAAUGGGCGAAAGCCUGACCCAGCAACGCCGCGUGAAGUAUGAAGGCCUUCGGGUUGUAAACUUCUUUGAUCAGGGAAGAAACAAAUGACGGUACCUGAAAAACAAGCUACGGCUAACUACGUGCCAGCAGCCGCGGUAAUACGUAGGUGGCGAGCGUUAUCCGGAUUUACUGGGUGUAAAGGGCGUGCAGGCGGGCUGAUAAGUCAGAUGUGAAAUCCCCGAGCUUAACUCGGGAACUGCAUCUGAUACUGUUGGUCUUGAGUGCUGGAGAGGAUAGUGGAAUUCCUAGUGUAGCGGUAAAAUGCGCAGAUAUUAGGAGGAACACCAGUGGCGAAGGCGGCUAUCUGGACAGUAACUGACGCUGAGGCGCGAAAGCGUGGGUAGCAAACAGG